rnacentral:tRNA from 1 species
GCGGGUGUGAUGGAAUGGCAGACAUAGCGGAUUUAAAAUCCGCUGCCGCAAGGCGUAUCGGUUCGAGUCCGAUCAUCCGUA